UACGGAGGAUCCAAGCGUUAUCCGGAUUCAUUGGGUUUAAAGGGUGCGUAGGCGGAACGAUAAGUCAGUGGUGAAAGCCCUCAGCUUAACUGAGGAACUGCCAUUGAUACUGUCGAUCUUGAGUACAUUUGAUGUGGGCGGAAUGUGUCAUGUAGCGGUGAAAUGCUUAGAUAUGACACAGAACACCGAUUGCGAAGGCAGCUCACAAAACUGUAACUGACGCUGAGGCACGAAAGCGUGGGUAUCAAACAGG
rnacentral:rRNA from 1 species